CGGACUGGAGUCUNCAACCCGACUCCACGAAGUUGGAUUCGCUAGUAAUCGCGCAUCAGCCAUGGCGCGGUGAAUACGUUCCCGGGCCUUGUACACACCGCCCGUCAAGCCAUGGGAGCCGGGGGCGCCUGAAGUCCGGGACCGCGAGGACCGGCCUAAGGCGAAACUGGUGACUGGGGCUAAGUCGUAACAAGGUAGC
rnacentral:rRNA from 1 species